GGCAAUUGAUGUCUUAGGAAGACAUUUGAUAUGUAAAAGAAAAAAUAAAUAAAGAAGGCCACUUUCAUUAUGAUGCCAGGAAUGAGUGGCAUUUGAAAUGUAAAAAAAAAAAAAGUGGGCUAGCCCACCAUUCCUUGUUUUAUGCAUCCCUUGUUUUGUGCAUCCUUGUUUUGUGCAUUUAGUCAUCAUAACCUUGUGUUGUGCACGUUAUAUUCUAAAAGAAGAAGGAAAAAAGUAGAAGGAAAAAUCUUGUUCUGUGCAAGAUAUAUUACGAAAGAAAGAAGAAAAAAUAGAAGGAAAAAUUAUUCACUUAUUUCUAACCUAGAGGGGAGAAAAAGGACGAACAGAAGGGGCUUUGUCAAUUAAUGUUGAAGGAGCAGUGAAGCUUUAUUUUAUUUCCACCAAAUAAAAAGGCAAUCAGAUUUUGAUCGUUCAGAGGCUCUACGCAAAGGGAAGACAUUAGUUUGAUUGUUCGUGGCACCCGCUCGGCAUUGAGAGUACAAUCCAGGUUCCAGUUCUACACCCCGUGGCUGAUACACGAGGGUGACAUCUUUCAGUCAGGGUGAGCUACUUGGUCAUCCGUGGCCCCUGAAGGACCUCCUCUAUUUAUUCUAUUUUUGUAUUCUACAGACAAUAUGUAGU